CCCGCCUGCGGCCCCCGCUCCGCCAUGCCGCUCGGCUUCAAGCCCGGAGACCUGAUUUUCGCCAAGAUGAAGGGCUAUCCGCACUGGCCCGCCCGGAUCGACGAUAUCGCCGAUGGGGCCGUGAAGCCGCCGCCCAACAAGUACCCCAUUUUCUUCUUUGGGACCCACGAGACAGCCUUCUUGGGCCCCAAGGACCUGUUCCCGUACGACAAAUACAGGGAAAAGUAUGGGAAGCCCAACAAGAGGAAAGGCUUCAAUGAGGGCCUGUGGGAGAUCCAGAAUAACCCUCACGCCAGCUACAGCAUUCCCCCACCUGUGAGCUCCUCAGACAGUGAGACCCCUGACAACGAUCUGGCGCCUGGGAGUGACGUGGGCGGGGAGGAGGAGGAGGAAGAAGCGGAAGACGAGGAGGAGCAGCGGCAGCAAUCAGGGACCGUGGAGUCCGUGACAGAGCCGGGCAGUGACGGAGGGUCGGACCCAGAGGACAGCAUCCAUGGCGGGAUGAAGCGGAAAGGGCCGACGUUGAAGAUGCCGGGAGCCAAGAGACCUCGAAAAUCCUCCAGCGACCCAGAGGAAGCCAGUGCUUCUCCAUCAGAAGAGGAGAACUCGGAGAGCUCAUCUGAGUCGGAGAAAAACAGCGACCAGGACUUCACUCCAGAGAAGAAAGCAGUCUCCCGAGCUCCACGCCGGCUACCGGCCGCCGGAAGAAAGAAGAAGAAGGUCGAUUCGGCCGACUCAGACUCCAAGGAAGACUCGGAUGAGCCAGAGAACAAGGCCAGGGCAGGGGCGAAGUUGGGAUCGGACUCGGACUCAGACUCGGACGUCUCUGUGAAGAAGGCUCCGCGGGGCAGGAGGCCGGUGGAAAAGCCAGCCCCGAAGCCCCGCGGCCGGAAGCCCAAACCCGAACGUGUCCCGACCAGCUCCAGCAGCGACAGCGACAGCGACAGCGGCGUAGACCGCAUCAGCGCGUGGAAGCGGCGGGAUGAGGAGCGGCGCCGCGAGCUGGAGCAGAAGCGGCGCCGCGAGCAGGAGGAAGAGUUGCGGCGACGCCGGGAGCAGGAACGGGAGGAGAGAGAGCGGGAGAAGGAGCGGAAAAAGGAGCGAGGAGAGGCGGCGGCGGCGGCGGCGGCGGGAGGCGCGGGGAGCAGCGGCGACGAGGUCGCGGAUGCCGACGAGCCAGCGGCCAGGAAGGGCGGCAGGAAGGGCCGCGGGCGGGUCCCGUCGUCCUCCGACUCGGAGCUGGACAAGGAAGUGAAAAAGCCGGUGAAGAAGUCACUGUCCCAGUCCCAGGAGUCAAGGAAGUCCAACCAGCAGGAGAAGAGGAGCCGCUCAGAGGAGAAGCCCCGAGCAAAGCCUGUGAAAGUGGAGCGUUCCAGGAAGAGGUCUGAAGCCCUGCUGGACAGGAGGGUGGAGAAGAAGAAGGAGCCAUCUGUGGAGGAGAAGUUGCAGAAGCUGCACGGCGAGAUCAAGUUUGCCCUGAAGGUCGAUAACCCGGAUGUGAAGAGGUGUCUGAGUGCACUUGAAGAGCUGGGCAGCCUGCAGGUGACCUCCCAGAUUCUCCAGAAGAACACCGACGUUGUGGCCACAUUAAAAAAGAUCCGCCGCUACAAAGCCAACAAGGACGUGAUGGAGAAAGCGGCCGAGGUCUACGCACGCCUCAAGUCCCGGGUCCUCGGGCCCCGGCUGGACUCUGGCCAGAGAGCGGCUAGCCGGGCUGGGCCAGAGAAGAACAAAGCGGAGGUGGAGAAGGGAGAGGAACCCCCCGGCAAGAAGAUGGAGGAGGAGCUGAAUGCCACAGCCAUGAACGGCGAAUCUACCCCACAGAAGGGCCCCGGGGCCGAGGCCAAGGUGGUAGAAGAAGAGCUAAGCCCAGAAGAGAAGACAGGGUUGGCUGCCUCUGACCUGCAUAUCAAAUCACCAAGGACGAAGUCCCCACCCCCUUCCCUGGCCACCCAUUUCAGUGCUCAUCCUCCUGGUUGCCAGGAAGUUCUUCUUUUCAUCUGACCGCAAUCUCUCCUGCUGCAGUUUGAGGAAAGGAUCCAAACUCAGGAAAGAAGACCAUUCGGUGAGGUGAGGGAUGGAGCGCAGAGGGAACGUCUGCUUCACAUGGGCCACCGGCUCGGCCACGGACAUCCAACAACAUAGGAGGAGGCCUCGGGGGGCCCCAGCACCCACCCCCAGGGCAUCCCCUUGGGCCCCUCAUCAUCCCCAGGUCUGAAAUCCCUCCUGCUCCCAAGAUCCACUCGAAGAAGGGGAAGUGGGGAGGGCGGAGGCGUGAAACCUGCCCUUGAGGGAAGGUCCCAAGGAACCAGUUUCUAGUAAAGAGAUUACAAGAUGCCCCCGUGAUAUCAGCCCUGAUUUACAGUCGCUGGACGGAGGCCGAGGUUUAGGGCCUGGAGAUGGAGAUGGGGACGGGGGUCUAGUACUCUCUCUGUCGGUAAUCCAUUUGUGUCCGUCUCCCCCCCCAGACCGUAAACUCCUUGAGGGCAGGGAUCACGUCUCCUAACUCUUUUUGUACUCUCCCAAGUGCUUAGUACAGUGCUCUCUGCCCGCAGUCAGUGCUCAAUAAACACUAUCGAUUGGUCGACUGAUGGUUUAUUAAUCCCCCCACCUAUCAUUUAUUUUAGUGUCCGUCUCCCCCACUAGACUGUAAGCUCCUCGAGGGUAGGGAUCAUCUCUAGAA